ACGAAGGCCAAUGUCUGUUUUCCUCUCAGAAGCCGCGCACGACGAAAACUUGCCGCUCGUGCCACCCACUCUCUAAUCUCGCGAGCGACUCCGUGAGGAUGACGUCAGGGUUGUAGAUCUCAAUGUGACGCGAGAACUCGCGACUUCUGGGAUGGUUUAGCAGGCUUCUUACGGUCCGGGUGUUCUGUUCGCUUUAUUUUUACGAAUUUAAUCCGGUGGAUUGGUAAUUUGACUUACCGUGCAUUCAGGUAUUUCCCUGGCCCAUCACUGUAGUAACGGCAAGAGAAUCCUCAUCCUGAAGGAGCUCAGAAAAGAAGAAAGCAGAAGCCUGAGGAACAAGCACUGACAGAAUAAAGGAAAGUCUGAGAGGCCAGAACAGUACAUUAAAGCCGGAAGUUCAGCUUGUCAUCAGAGUUCAGAUUCUUUCCUGGUUCCCUGUGGAGGGGUCAAGAAUACAAACAUCCUCAAUUGCUACAGCAGAAGGGAACAUUAGUCCAUUAGCAGAACCAAACAGGAAGCACCGAUGGGCAUUUCUGCUAUUUAUUUUCUGACUAUUAGGAAACAUGUAGGUUAGUUCUUUGAACAAAAUUUGUCAAUAAAGCAUAGAACACUUAAAAGGUGUAGUCAUUUUGGUUAAAC
rnacentral:lncRNA from 1 species